rnacentral:rRNA from 1 species
UACGAAGGGUGCAAGCGUUACUCGGAAUUACUGGGCGUAAAGCGUGCGUAGGUGGUGAGUUAAGUCUGUCGUGAAAGCCCCCGGGCUCAACCUGGGAAUGGCGAUGGAUACUGGCUCGCUAGAGUGCGGUAGAGGAGAGUGGAAUUCCCGGUGUAGCAGUGAAAUGCGUAGAGAUCCGGAGGAACACCAGAGGCGAAGGCGGCCUACUGGGUCAGUACUGACGCUGAGCCGCGAAAGCCAGGGGAGCGAACGGG